rnacentral:rRNA from 1 species
CCUACGGGGGGCAGCAGUGGGGAAUAUUGGGCAAUGGGCGCAAGCCUGACCCAGCAACGCCGCGUGAAGGAAGAAGGCUUUCGGGUUGUAAACUUCUUUUCUGAGGGACGAAGAAAGUGACGGUACCUCAGGAAUAAGCCACGGCUAACUACGUGCCAGCAGCCGCGGUAAUACGUAGGUGGCAAGCGUUAUCCGGAUUUAUUGGGUGUAAAGGGCGUGUAGGCGGGAAGGCAAGUCAGAUGUGAAAACUCAGGGCUCAACCCUGAGCCUGCAUUUGAAACUGUUUUACUUGAGUGUUGGAGAGGCUAUUGGAAUUCCGUGUGUAGCGGUGAAAUGCGUAGAUAUACGGAGGAACACCAGUGGCGAAGGCGGAUAGCUGGACAGUAACUGACGCUGAGGCGCGAAAGCGUGGGGAGCAAACAGGAUUAGAUACCCUAGUAGUC